rnacentral:tRNA from 1 species
GGGGUUGUGGCUCAGUGGUAGAGCGCUCGCCUAGCAUGUGUGAGGCCCUGGGUUCAAUCCUCAGCACCACA